UCAGUGCACCACAGGGUAGCAGCUCCUCAGCAGGAAGCUGGGAGUGAAGAGACCAUAACCAGAUGGCUUCACUACCACCCAUUAACUACUGCUAGUAAUGUCACAUCCUUUGUGCUCCUAACUGAAAAGCAACCUUUAUACAGCACUGAGGGUUUACAGAUUGAAGGUGGCUGCCUGUUGCACUUCAGGAGGAAGAAAUAUUUGCCUACAUCUGUGAAAAGGAGCUCAGAUAUUGCAAAGAAGAUGAGGAAUGAUCAGCAGGCCUUUGGCAGGAUUCAUUAAAGAUUGGGGCAUCAGGACAACUUCAGUUAAGCCAGGAAGUCCAGUAAAAGAGGAAGACAUAAAUAUUUUAUCUAACAUAAUCUCUUGGCCAGGACAGCCAACCAAGAAAUGAAGAAUUCCCAAGCCUUUUACUUUUGAAGUCUACUGGAUGAUUUACUUGUGAAGAAAACUAAACAACAUUUUGCAACCAAAUCUUUUGGUAUAAGAAAGAUUUUACAACCCCUUGUAUAUGUGAAAAAUCAGAAAUUUCUGCAUGAUGAUUACUUUCUUUCCUUGCAAUGUUUAUAAUCUUGUAAAAUUUUAAUAUCUCUUGGAAUUACCAGUAAAGAGAGGAAUUUCAAUAAUUACAAAUGAUAUAAAUUUAAAAAACUGAGCCCCCCAAAACCUCGAUGAAUUUAAGAAAUAUUUUGAAAAUUAAUUAUUUUGAAAGUGAAUUUGGAAGUGAACAAAUAAAAUAGGUUGAACU